AUGGCGUCUUCUGGUGUCUUGUUUCCAGGCUUUGUUUGGUUCCUAUGCCUCUUUUGCUUCCUUUGCAGCCUACCACUAGCCAUCUGCAACGAAACUGAAAAUGAUAGGCAAGCUCUCCUCUGCUUCAAGUCCCGGCUCUCGGGUCCAGCAGGAGUUUUAGCUUCAUGGAGGAACACGUCCCCGGACAUUUGCGAGUGGCAUGGGAUCACCUGCAACACGGUGUUCCCUCGUCGUGUGAUUGCGCUGGACCUUGAGUCACAAGGCAUCUCAGGCUCCAUAUCACCUUGCGUUGCUAACCUGACCUCUCUUGCAAGGCUGCAGCUGUCAAACAAUGGCUUCAAUGGUGGCAUACCAUCAGAGCUUGGCCUCCUGAGCCGGCUCCGUGAGCUCAACCUCAGCAAGAACACUUUGGAAGGUAACAUACCGCCAUCUCUGGGUAGCAGCCGUUCUCUUACAUAUGUCAAUCUUGGGAUGAAUGCUCUAACAGGGGUCAUCCCGGAGUCCCUAUUCAGCACAUCGUCUCUUCUUGAUAUUUCCCUCCAACAGAACAACCUUGUUGGUUCUAUACCUGUUGUUUCUGCCACUGCUUCCCCUAUUCAAUACCUCGAUUUAAGGCACAAUCAUAUUUCAGGAAAAAUACCUUCCUCGCUAGGGAACCUUUCCUCCCUCAUCGAUCUUCGUCUUACAGAGAAUAAUUUAGUAGGGAGUAUACCAGACAGCUUAGGUCAUAUCUCAACACUGCAGAUACUGACCUUAAAUGUGAACAACUUGUCUGGGACAGUUCCACCAUCUCUAUUCAAUAUGUCAUCUCUGACAUUCUUGGCUUAG
rnacentral:rRNA from 1 species